GUGGCAAUAGGAAGGUUAUGUGACUGCCAGCGGAAAAGAGGCCUUUCUAACACUCUUGUGAGUUGCCAUGGUAUAACAAGUUAUAUCAGCUGACCUGUUGUAGUUGUUUAUCCCAUACUUCUAACCUGCAGUAAAUACAAGGUAAUAAAAUUUUAAUUUUAGCAUUUAAUGAGAGACUUCAUGCCACCACAGACUUAUGAGCCUUACCUCAUACAUGUUUAUCAUGUAUGUUCCUUAGUAAACUGACUUUGCAUUGCUGCCAUCAGCCUGGCUGGUCCCCACAGUAUGCUGUCUGAUGCAGAUCCAAACUCAGUUUGUGCAGCUUCUGUUUUAGGGCUUUCUUCAUUCCCCAAAGGGUACUCUGCAGCUAAAUAAAAACUGAGGUCAGGAGAGUUGUCCUCAUAUUAAAACCGGAGGUUAUUAUUUUUGAAACCCCAAGAUAAGGAUAUUCCCUUGCUAUUUUAUGACAUGCACUCCAGGAGAAGGUUUCUCUUCCUGUACCAGCACAAAGAUGGACAAAAUGUAUUUUUUGCUUUGAAAAGCUAUUAAGCUUUUGUCCUUUUGACUAAACUUGCCCUAAGAGUGACAGAUUAAAAGGCAAGUAAGAACAUAGCAAACUAUCCCCUUAGUGUUUCACAGCAUGGGGUCUAGAAGAGAAAACUUGGGGUCAGUAUUGAAGAUUGUCCUUAGCUGGGUUCAGCCUGUCACUUGGGCAAUUUUACAGCUGUCUUUCAUUGGCUUCUCCUUCUGUCCCAGCUCUACAUGUUGCUUCACAGCCAUGGCACCGAUUCCUGCUCUUCACACUGCUCAAUGGGGGCCAGAAGUCCUUUCUGCAGCCAGAAGUUCUGAGGCUGAUGACUUUGUUUGUGAGAUAUCAGAGCAGCAAUAUUAUUUCUCAAAAAGAAAUUAGCCAGAUUCUUCAGGAGGCAGCAGAAGCCAACUUAGCAGAACUGCCUGAGGCCACAUGUUGUGCUCUUCACCACUUCCUUUGUCAGAUUCAGAGCAGUCAUUACCAGGUGGAGCCAGUGCAGUCAGGGACCAUUCAGACCUUGCUGGAUCGUCUCCUGGGACAGAGGACCACGUGUAUAAAACAUCAGGACAUUGUAUGUCUGGGAAGCGUGGCAGUGUCCCUCUCACACAUUGGCAACUGAAAUGAGAAGAUGCGAUGUGCAGAGCAGAGGAAAAAGGCAAGAAUGGAGCAAAGACCCCAUCCUGCCAUUUAUUCCCAGUGAAUAGUAAGUAGAGAGAGAAGAUGGACAAAGGAAGUAAUUUGUUGCUCAUUUUGAGAAAAAGCUUUGCUGAAACUCAUUUAUAAAGUUCUGUUGCUGAAACGGCUCAGUUUCCUUUUCUGUGCAGGGUGAGGCUUGGUUGAUGCCCUUCAGCUAUCAAACUGCAGACCUGCCGGGGGAAACGAUGGCGUAGAGGGAUGCCAUGGAAGAGGUGCUCUGCUCACCCGCCUUGGCUCAUGGCUCUCCGAGAUGGCCCCUUAGCUCUGGGCUGGCAGGGGCGGCGGGGGCUCAGCGAGGACCCCGGGGAAGCAGGAUAUGCCUCGUGUGCCAUGGUGCUGAGUAGACUUCUUCCAGCUCACGAGUGACUCCUUCGACUACAGCUCCAGCCCCCACAACUGUCCUGUUGCCUCCACACCCUUUAAGUGUCCCGUUCCCGUCGAGGCUCUAAUUAACGGGGUUCCUUCCCUCGCGGAGCCGGGAGAAACCCUCCCACAACGAGAGCGGCCCCGACGGGGGGAAACCUCCCAGCGCCGGGGGCCCAAACCCGGGCAGCCCCGCCGGUGUGGGGCCGGUGCCGGGGCGGGGCGGGGACUCAGGAAGUGAC
ensembl:lncRNA